rnacentral:rRNA from 1 species
AGGGANCAUUACAGAGUUACUUAAAAACUCCCAACCCUUUGUGAACNNACCACUGUUGCCUCGGCGUUGGCUGCGGCUACCCUAUAGUUACCCUGUAGGCAACUACCCUGUACCUAUCUCGUAGUUCGCUUAGGCCCGUCGGAGGACCACUGAACUCUUGUUUUUACUGUGAAUAUCUGAAUGCUUCAACUGAAAUAAGUUAAAACUUUCAACAACGGAUCUCUUGGUUCUGGCAUCGAUGAAGAACGCAGCGAAAUGCGAUAAGUAAUGUGAAUUGCAGAAUUCAGUGAAUCAUCGAAUCUUUGAACGCACAUUGCGCCCAUUAGUAUUCUAGUGGGCAUGCCUAUUCGAGCGUCAUUUCAACCCUUAAGCCCCUGUUGCUUAGCGUUGGGAGACUGAGCCCCCCCCCCGGGGGCCCAGCUCCUUAAAAGUAGUGGCGAUGUCGUGGCACAUCCUAAGCGUAGUAAUUUUCUUCUCGCUUCUGUGAUUGUCGCGGCUAUCUGCCGUAAAACCCCCUAUAUUUCUAGUGGUUGACCUCGGAUUAGGUAGGAAUACCCGCUGAACUUAAGCAUAUCAAUAAGCGGAGGAAAAGAAACCAACAGGGAUUGCCCUAGUAACGGCGAGUGAAGCGGCAACAGCUCAAAUUUGAAAUCUGGCCCUCGUGGUCCGAGUUGUAAUUUGUAGAGGAUGCUUUUGGUGCGGUGCCUUCCGAGUUCCCUGGAACGGGACGCCAUAGAGGGUGAGAGCCCCGUACGGUUGGACGCCUACCCUAUAUAUAGCUCCUUCGACGAGUCGAGUAGUUUGGGAAUGCUGCUCUAAAUGGGAGGUAAAUUUCUUCUAAAGCUAAAUACCGGCCAGAGACCGAUAGCGCACAAGUAGAGUGAUCGAAAGAUGAAAAGUACUUUGAAAAGAGGGUUAAAUAGCACGUGAAAUUGUUGAAAGGGAAGCGUUUGCGACCAGACUUUUUCCAGGCGGAUCAUCCGGUGUUCUCACCGGUGCACUUCGCCUGGCUUAGGCCAGCAUCGGUUUCCUUAGGGGGAUAAAGGCCUGGGGAACGUAGCUCUCUNGGGAGUGUUAUAGCCCCUCGCGUAAUACCCCUCGGGGGACCGAGGAUCGC